AGAGCCCAAGGACGGGGGCCUACAGAGGAGGUCCAGCCCAGCUGCUGACGUCCAGGGAGAAAACCUCUGUGAGUGAGAGGCAGAGAGGAUGCUGCCGUGAAGAACACACAGCCUGAGGACAGGGUGGAAAUGGACACUUGGGUGAGACCCCGCCCCUGUCCCAGGCACCAAAGGCCUCCUGGUGCCAGAUCUAAUCCUGCAGGACUUCUCUGUCCUCCUUCCCCCGGCUCUCAGCAUCGUCACGGUGGACCCCUCCUUGUCCAGCACUCUGCCUCCCGCCUGCUGGGACCUCACUCUCUCCUGGUGUCCUGGGACCUCGUGGGCCUCCUCCCCGGUCCCCUUCCUGCUCCUCAUCCUCUGUUUGGCCCUCUGGUUGUUAGAGCGCUCCCCAGGCCUCAGGAGGAUGAGGAAUAAAUGAACCACCUCGGUC
rnacentral:sRNA from 1 species